GACAGAGGUGCCAAGCGUUAGGCGGAAUCACUGGGCUUAAAGCGUGUGUAGGCGGGUUUGUAAGUACCUUGUGAAAUCCCACGGCUUAACCGUGGAACUGCUGGGUAUACUGCGAAUCUUGAGCUGUCUAGGGGUUGCGGGAACAAACGGUGGAGCGGUGAAAUGCGUAGAUAUCAGGAAGAACACCCGUGGCGAAGGCGGCUCUCUGGGACGGUACUGACGCUGAGACGCGAAAGCGUGGGGAGCGAACAGG
rnacentral:rRNA from 1 species